CUUACCAAUCAAAUACAAUUUUAUCUAGAAAUUGGCUAAGUGGUCAUGAUUGAAAAUGAUUAAUGAAGAAAAAGCGGAUAUGGGUUUGCUAGUUCAUGUUCAUCAAAGAGUGUUUCAGUGAUUACUUUGCAUUAUUUUGACAAUGAUCAACACACCUUUUGGUUAGAAAUAAAGUCACCACUCAUUCACACUGGGGAAGCUAAAACAAUAAAAAACUGAUUAUUCUGGAAGAUUUAACGUUACAACUGUUACAAGCAGUCAGAAUUUGUUAAAGAAAAAGUUCAAGAUUUUGGUCAUACUGUAUUGCAAAUGGUGCUUAAAAAUGAGGGAGAAGAUUAUUUUUACAAACGCAAUGAAAACAGUCCUGAAGACAAACCAGUUUGGUCACUUUAUUUAAAUUAACGUGUUUUUCCAUUAGAAUGGACAAAACA